UGAAUCUGAAAACCAAAUUUGAAUUGGUCAUUCACUUUCCUUCCGACUUUACCUCUCCUUCACACGUUGGAGAUUGAUUUUGGCUUCAAAGACUUUUUCUUUUUCUCUCCAUCAUUCAUCAAUUUCAUAACCAAAACAUAAUAACAACAAACCACAAUUCUCUACAAUAACCUGCUUUCAUCCAUCACUCCAACAACAAUACAAACACCUUCAAUAAACCAUAAACAACCAUGUUCAUCAUCAAUUAAGCAUCUCUUGAGUUGAGGUUAGUUGUAUUACUAAUAGAAUGUUCAUGGUAAAAAUUAAGUUCAUUUUUUUAAUAGUGACAGUUUAGCUUAGAGGUUUGAUUUAAAUCUUUAUUUAAGUAAAUUGUUGUUUUAUCAAAAUUAGUUUUAAAAUACAAAAAGAGAGAUUUCUUCUUUAAUUUUUUUAAGGUAUUAUUCUUGUGCAUGCUUGUGUGGUUUAUCACGUUGUUUUAAUGCUUAAUCCUUUGUUUGUAUUGUUAUUUACUUGGACAAUAUCGGUUGUUAAGAAAAAUAAAAGCAUGUGCUCAAUAAAAUCGAUCUUUUAAGAUAAGUCUCAAAAGCUCAAUCCAAUAUCGAAUAUCUUUUUUAGAUAUUCAUCUUCCUAAAUAAAACACUUAAUAAAGCGAAUCCGGAUUCGCCUUACAGUUUCAAAAACAAAACUUUUGGAGAAAAAGAUGUUUUGGAUUUAGAUUCUUUCGCUUAUCAAGUAUUCAUAUAUUAUUGUAGUACUCCUUGUUUGGACAUUAGUCUCCACAUAAAAACAACCUCAACUCAUCAAACUUACUUUUUCGACCUUGCGCUUGAAUAUUUUUCGCGCCGCAACAGUUAUAUUAAGUAUUUCUCUUAUCGGAAUUCGUUGAAUGCAAGAUUAGUACUAUCAUUUAUAUCAAAACAAAUUUACAUUAUUGGAAUUCGUUCAAAGCAAGAUUAAUAUUAACAUUACUUCGUGGCUAAAUUCUAAUUUCAGUUGUACGUCGUUAGAAACUUGGUAAGCCCAUUUUUCCUUAAUCAUUUUUAUUUAAGCAAGUUUCAUUAAAGAGAACAAAAGUGAUAGAUUUUAAUUGAAUCUAUAGAUACAAACUAUAGUAUAUUAUAAUAUUAUAAAGUAAUCAAGAACAAUUAUAACGAUGUACCUUUUAGAAUUGAGAGACUGUCAAAGAAUGAGUAUGAGAGGAUUACUACCCUCAUUGCCGUUUAGAGUUUUUACAGUAUGUUAAUCGUCUAAUGGGGCAACGCUUAAAUAGCUAGACGGUUGAGGGCAGAGACCUCUCAUUGGACUUAACUGAAUGGUCCAAUCCAUCACGGUCCAUUCAGGCACAAAGCCCAAUCAAACAACCCAUCAAUAAUUAGUGUUUAAUAACAUUUGACCAUAAUAUAAUUAAUUAAUAAUUAAUUAUUUCAAUCCAUAUUUGAUUAAUUAAAUAAUUAAUCUAACAAUCUCCCACUUGGAUGACAAUAAUUAAUUAUUAAAAAUAUUGAUUCUAAUAUUAGAAUACCAAUAAUGGUCAAACACUAAUCAAUCCAAAGAAAAGUAAAUUUCAACACUGCAGAAAUUGUAUCCGAUUGGGAAGACAAAUCAUACAAGUUAAAACUCACAACUUAAAUCAACAACGAUGAAUUUAGAGUAACAUAUUUAAGUUAAGAGUAAUAUGUUAUAAACAAUGGCCCAAGCAUAUGAAAAUGCUAUUAAUAAACUCCCACUAACCCAAAAUAUCAUAAGACUUACUCAUGUGUAUAAGUCUUGGGAAGUGAUUAUACUAAUGAGUUUUAAAUUAUAGGUCAUAGAAUAUCCACAUAGGUCUACGAAUAGUAAUUACAUAUAGGAAUAUCCUAUUACAAGAGUAAUUACAUUUAAUCAUAAGUACCUUCAUAAUACAAUAUCAUACUCGAUAGGAGUAUGAAUAUUUACUUGUACUUUCAUAUUAUGACCAGACAAGAGUGGACUAUUGAAGAUAGAAUAACACAAUAUUAUUGCAUGCUAAGGAAUUAUUGUGUCUUUUCAAUAUCGACCCAAACAUUCAAUUAUGAUGUUUCCUGAGAUUAAGAGAAUAAUAUAUAUCUCAGUAUACUAGAAUAAGACUUCUUAGAGUUAUUGUACAUUUUGAAGUCUUUUUAGAAUAUGUCAUAUUUUAUAUUGCAUAAAAGAAUAUAUGACAAUAUGAAAAUAAUAAUCUAUUUCUUUUUCUUUUGGAUUAUAUUAUUUUGUGUACACAUGCACUCCCACUGAUCCAAUAUAAAACAAUGGAUAUACAUUUAUCAGAGUCCACUAAUAUUAAAUACUCUGAUUAUUCAAUGGGAUACUAAUUUUAUUUUUAGUGCAAAACUAUACAGAGAAGUGGUUGUAUAAUAUAUCAUCACUAGAGUUUUACAAACUCAACCACAUAUUUUGCACAUAAACAGAAUAUAUCAUUAUAGAUAUAAUUUCACAUGAAACAAUAUGAUGGUCAUAUAAAAGGUUUACCAUCAUUUGAGUGACGUCAAAUCCAUAUAAUUUUAAAUAUAGGAUUAUAUACAACAUAUUAAUAAUUCUCUCAAAACUCAGAUGCUACAAAUAUAACUACACACAUUUGUGAAACAUAAUAUGUUAUACGCAGUGGAAAAAUGAGACUUUAAUUCAAUUAAUAUUUUGAGGAUACAACACAAGUAGUCGUAAAUUUCUUUCAAUAACACAAGACUACACUAUCCUCAAUAUAAGUCUCCAUAAAAUAAUAUUAUGUUAAAUAAAUAAUAUUUAUUUCUCAUUUCUAUACAAUUGACAUGUUAAAUUCUCCCACUUGAUAGAGGAUAAUAUUUGAAUUAUUAAAUAAAUUUUUUUUAAAAAAAAACUAUAAACAAAUAUUCAACUAUUUUCUCUAUCACAUAAUUAUCAUGUCAAGUAAUAUCACACCGAUAGGGUGUGUCAAUCACUUACAUAACAAUGUACAAAUAUUAUAUUACCAAAAUUCUAAUACCGAUAAGGUACUCGAACCAUAUAUUAUUGAUAUAUCAAAUUAUAAGUACAUUUAUCAAUUAACAAUAUAAUAUAUUAACAAUAACAUACAGAUAGGGUACGACUAUCAUCAAUAUAAUAUUAAAUAUAAUUAAAAUAUUGUAUUUAUUUUACUAAGCAAGAUUUGCAUAAUAAAUGACAAAAUUAUAUUAAUCGUAUGUGUCUGUGCAAUCGUCGUUUGAAGCAUACUUCGUAUUACACCUCAACUCAACAUUCCUGUUACUUUUCUCACCAUGCAAACUCCAAACUGUAUAACUUCUAUCAGUUCCAAACCGUAGUAAAUGCGAUGCCAAUUGUUUCCCGUCAACCUUAUCCCCAUAACAGCAAACCAAGCAAGGACACGUCAUUCGAAUCGGGUCUUCGGAGUGCGCAACCGUAAACUUAACGAAUUCCCAUACCCCUUUCUUGUACUCUUUCGACAACCGGUUUGAAUUCAUCCAUGUCUUAUCCAUGUCUUAAUUAAGCUAAACAAAUGCUUCUUGGUUUCUCUAUCAGGUACUAAGGAAUUCUGUCAAGAUAAUAAAUAGCUAUCAUCAUUAUGUCUUGAUCAGAAUACCUAAUGAGAUCCUAUAAAGUGUGAAUAAUAGAAUGUUAUGCAACUAUAGUACAAAAAUAUAAUACUGUGAAUAAGCAACACUUAUUUCAGCCUACCCCCGAUUUCUUAAAGAAGACAUCACCUUAUUUCAAGGUAAUAUAAGUCCACAAACCAAAAAACUGAUUGAGAGACACUAAAUUGAAAUUAAAUAGAACCAUAAACAAUAAACUAUAAGCAGAAAACAACAAACUAUAAGCAAGAAGAAAGGGCUAGUAACCUGAGUUGGACUUGAUGUGGGAGACGGGUAGGUUUGAAUCCGCGUUGUACAAGUAGAAACCAGAGGCUUCAAAGUAACUGUAAAAUUAAACACACACACGAUGCAGUUAAAUACACCACUACUAACACAAUAUCAAAAAACCCCAAUCUAGAUUGAACAUAUUAAAGUUAGUUUCUAUACUGCAAAAUUCAUCAUAAUACAAGUAAUUUGAGAAAGAAAUUUACCUCGGAUGUUACCGAACUCAAGAAAACGCCAAACGUCGAACUAGGCCGGGAAACGAUCAAAAUUUCACUCUACACAAGUUACCCCUAUAGCAAAUUCACAAAGUUAGUAACCACUAAGACAAAAUUGAUUGAAAGAUUCUAAAAGAACCUACAUCCUAAUAGACACAUGAAAUUCAGUCCUUCAAAUUCUAAUUUAAACAUAUAGAAAAGAAAAUGUAAAAAAAAAACUCAAAUAUACUUUGAAGAUGCAAUCGGGUAUUCCUCCAAUUGAAAAUCAUAUGGAUUAAUUCAAUAGGUCGAUACUUGAUCUUGAAAACAUAAAAAUCAAGCUAGAUAAUGAACAUUACAUCAUGAACUCUUACUGAUCAUGUUAUUAACUAGUUCCUAUGUAAUCAAUAUGAUAGAAAAUUUAAGGAUCUUAGGAGUGAAAAUAGCCUUGAGUAUUUAAAUGAAGAGUUCAAUGAAUAUUGUAAAAUAAAUUGCUUAUCCAGAACAAUGCAGAGAGUAGAAAAUCCUAAAAAGGAAAAGAAGGUCCUUCUUAUAUGGCAUGAAUAUAACUCUACAUGGUUAUAAUAAGUCUAUAUUUUCAUGUUUUAAAUUUUUUGAAAGUACAUGAUAAAUGAUCAUAUAAUACUUCAAUCACACUUGAUUUAUUUUAAAAAACAUCUAAAAGUGUCCUUCAUGCUAACAGGAGAAGGAUAUUGAGGAAAUAAAACAGCGACUGCUAGAUGGCUAUGAGAACAACUUUUGGACUUGUAGUGUUUCUAAGCUUGGUUAUUCUGGAACAGCAAUAAUUUCAAGGGAGGGUGAUUCACUGAUAUUGUGCAGUACUGCUAGUGAUGGAGAUGAAUAGGGAGCAAUUAUUUAUAAUUGGAAAGAUAAUAGCGUGCAGGCAAUAUCCUUAUACGAUGAUAAUGCUAGUAAAUUAUCCGAAAGAACAAAUGAAGUAUUAGAGAUAUAGAUAAAUAUAGAUUAGGUGUUCCAAAUCCUCUUGAUCCAAAUACUGAAGCACGCAUCACUAAGAGUGCAUUCUGUAUCGACAUUUUUAUCUCCAUUUUUUGUUCAACUCAGGUUUGACAAAUUUCUUGGUUGCAAAUAUUUUGUCAUUGGAAGAUUAUGAGAGAGUUCACUUUGUAUUGAAAGUGUCUCCAUAUUGUAAAUAUAUUGUAAAAAAGAUAAUCUUAGAUCUUUUUGUGAACCAUUUCAAAGAUCUCAAAUUAUUUGUGAAAAGUGUUUUUUCGAAGUUGGAAAUGCAAGUGUUGCUGCUACAAAACAGUUGCUACCAAUUGGAAGUAAUAUGAAGCUCCCAUUUUUACUAUAUUUUGGAACAAUGUCAAUUGCAUUAUUAAUUAUGGAUGCUUACUACCAGUUUUCUCUUAUUGUGAAUGCUUACUACCAGUUUUCUCUUAUUGUGAAGAUUGAAGACUAGUUUGAGUUCUUUGAUCUACUCUUUUGUUGCCCUGAUUUAUACUUUUUGCAUUUGGUUGAUUUCUGAUUGACUAGUUGGUUUUUGAUGUGCUAUUUCAUCUCGAGCACAACAUUGGUAUUGUUGCUUCAUUCUCAAACCAUCAACCAUGCUACUUAAUCGUUUUCUAGUUGAAUUGUUAGUCCUUUGACGUGCUAUGUAAUGCCUCAGUUUUUAAAUUAUUUUAUUUUAUUUGAGUUUAAAGUGCUUAUAUUAUUUAUUUGAGUGCUCUUACUAUUUUUGUGGUAUUCUUUGAGGUUGGGUAGAAUUUUAUUUAAAAUAAUUAGUAUUUUUAGUUAAUUAAAAAUAAUAGAAAUAAUGAGAGAUUAUGUUUUGGGAGAAAAAUAGAGCUUUUAGUAACUUUGAGGAAAAGGGUGGAAUUUGUGAGAAUUAAGGGGAGUUGGUAAAUUAAUAAAAGAUGUUAGGAUUUUAUUUAAAUAGAUAGAGGAAUUAGAGUUAGUGGGAGGUUUUGGAGAAAACAUUGUAGCAAAGUCAGAAAGAGCUCUAGAAAAGUAAAAAGUAAGAGAAAAGAGAGAUUCCAUAGUUGUAGAUUUAAGGUUUACUAUAAUUUGAGGUAAGAGGGAAUUAUUUAUCUAUGGGUGUAUUGUGCAUAAAGGAUAGAGAGGGAUCCUUACCUUCUUCCUUGUUCCUUUUUCUUUUUCUCCAUUGAUGAGGUUUUGGACCUUGAGAUGGUUGUGCAAAUCUCUAUAGAUCAUUCACUAGUAAAAAAAGAUCAAUAUAAUUUUAAAAUUUACACCCAAUAUACUAAAAACGGGUGUAAAUUAAAAAUGCGGUGGCAAUUUUGUAAAUAACAUGUCAUUUUAAACAUUAUCAGGUGAUAAUAUACACCCUAUUUUCUAAAAACGGGUUUAAAUUAAAAAAAUUAUCAUAAUCAAAGUUCAAUUACUCCUUUUAAACAAAAAAACGAGUGUAAAUUUAUAUAAAAAAAAUUUUGUUUAAAUUUAUAAUUCAAAAUAUAUAACCUAUAUAACAUAUUAAUAAAUAAAUUAAUGAAUAAAUAUUAAUGGGUCUAAAUUUAUUAAGUAAAUAAAAUAGUUUAAACAUUAUACAAAAACUCUUUAGUAAGUGAAACAUUAUCUUUAAACAUAAUUCUUUAAAUUUAUUAACAUAAUAAAAUACUUUCUCAUUUUCUAUUCAACUCUUUCAUGAAACUCAUUUUCAACUCUUACAGAAAACCCAUUUUUCAAUCUAACUCUGUUCCACUCAUGCAUUUCGCGCUGCUUCAGAAAACCCAUCUCUCGAUUCACCUUUCCUUAUCCCCCUUUCAAUCCUUCUCCUCGACAGUUUCUGCUUCUUUUUUACCUAUUCUCAUUCUCUACUCCAAAGCUUCGAUCUCUUGUUCUCUGCCUCUGCUCCGAAACUUGUUCGAUUUCACAUUCCUUCACCCACUUUUUCAGCAGUCAUUCACCAAGGUGUAAUAGCUGACGAAGGUGAACCCUAAUCCCCUAUUUCAUUCUCAGCAUAAUGUAUUCCUCUUCUAAGUGUUUCUGUUGGUUCUAAUCGGAACCCUAACUUUUUCGGUAUUCAAUGGGUAUAGAUGAAGUUGAGCUUGAUAUGGAUGAGAGAGAGGAUGGAGAAGAAUUGGAAGAGGGAGGUGGAGAUAUCGACAAGGAUGGUGAGGAUGAAGAAGAAGGUAUGAAUUUAGAUUGUUCCGAAUUUUUGUAUAUUCGCUGUUUACCAUGUGGCUGGAGGUAAGUUUUUAGAAUACUGGGGAUUUCAAAUUAGGGUUUCCUAUGUGGCAUUGUUUGAUAUUGGUAUGAACUAGUGUUAAGUGCUAGAAAGGAAAACAAAUUUGGAAUAAUAUUUUUCCGACUUUGUCGUGUUUUUGGGAAAAUACUCAGAUGAACUGAGGUUAGGCUGUUUGGUAGUUUCGUAUGGAAAUUGUGAUGCUUAUUUUCGAGUUAUGUUUUAGUUAGUUCAAAUGAUGACGGUGUAACUUUUCUUUUCCAUGUUUCCAUUGAUUAAGAUAUUUCAUUUUGUUUUAUUUUCCGAUGGGCGAGAUUAAGAUGGAAGACAUAUCGCUACCGACGCAAGGAAGGGAUCCACGCAACCGCCAGAGUUUGGUGUUGACCAGGAGCUUGUGAAGAAGGAAUGCUAGUCUCUGAAUAAAUGCGGUGUUAGGUGUUGGGGAGUCUUGGAAAAGUAAUGCUCUUAAUCACAGCGUUGUGCCUGCUGCAAGUCAUGGAGUUCAGAAUGGGUUCUGAAGUCUACUUAUAUGACAAGUCUACUUAUAUGACAUAGAUUAGGAACUCACCUUAUGUUACAAGGUGAGUUAAAAUGUUACGAAGAAUUGCCUCUGCUGACCGUGUCGUUUCCUUCGUCGCCUUGUUCACCGCUGCUCGUAAUCCUUCCGAUGCCGCUGAUUGCGACGAGUUCCUCGACCAUUUCCUUCAUUUCCUCCUUGUUGCUAUGGCGGCGGCUGAUAAGACUGUUAGAUUCAGAGCCUGCCAGAUUUUCUCAGAGAUAAUAUUGCGGUUACCAGAUGAUGCAGAAGUGAGCAAUGACCUAUGGGACGAGGUGAUAGAGGGCAUGAAGGUUAGGGUACGAGACAAGAUCUAUUUGGUGCGUACGAGACAAGAUCUAUUUGGUGCGUACUUUUGCGGUUAGGGCACUUUCACGUUUCGUGAAUGACUCUUCUAAUGUUGACAUUCUUGAUUUGUUCCUUGAGAUGCUUCCUUUGGAGCAAAAUGCGGUGCUAUGAGAUCGACUGGAGAUCAAGGAUUAUAACUGUGAAGGAAUCAUAUGUAGUUUUGGAUAAACCUGCUGGCACUUCAGUAUGUAAUCAGUCUUACACUAUGUACUCAGAAAUAGUUAUUAAUCUCGUAUAGGAUUCUUAUAGAAUUGUUUUUAAAUUUUAGAUAGUAAACAACAACAGUCGUAAGUCCUGUCAUUUUCAUAUCCAAUGGACAUGUUCUACAUUGCAUGAGUAAUUAAUUGUCAUCUGAAUUCAGCUUAUUGGUUAUUAUGAUGAUGGGUUCUAACAGAAAUUCAAGCCAGUAGGAAUUAGAUUUUGAAGAAAAUGAUGUUCAGUGCUUCUUGUCAAGUUAGAUUAGGUUGGUCAGCUGUAAUAUAUUUUAGGAGAUAGCAUGAAACAUGAGAAGAAAAUAAACCAAAGUUGUACACCCAGGCUUCCUUAAUUAUCACCUAACUGAGAAGAGGAAUUCUUCGCGCUAUGAAGAUAUAGAGCACCUUUUCUUAUCUUCUCUGUUUCGAAACGGAUUUGCAUGCGGCAUGUGGCUGGAUUGGUGCGACAUUUCUCUUUAAGUUUAGUUAUACACAUUAAAAAAACUAAGAAAUCUUGAGUCAUGAAUACUAAUUAUAAAAUUACUGAAACAACUAAUAAAUAUUUUGUAAUGCAUGAGUGAAAGUUGCAAGUGGGUUGAAAUGUUUGAAGAUGUUAGAGCUGUCGUCUUUUGCGUUUCCCUAAGUGACUACGAUCAGUUAACUCUUGCCCCAGACAUCAACGGCAACGGAACACUUCUCCAAAACAAGAUGAUACAAAGCAAGGAGCUUUUCGAAACAAUAGUUUGUGAUGGUGGCAUAGUUGCUUGGAGUUGGCUAUUGAGCAUUAGUUGUUGAGGCUUGGAGGUAUGAGGUGUUUUUGUGUUAAUUGGAGGUAUGAGGUAUUGAGCAUAGUCGCGAUAUAUGAACCUGUUGGUUAUUAUUGUGUAUGGUUUGUGAUAUGUUUUGGUUCCAUGCCUUUUAACUCAUGCAAAAUAGGCUGGU